GUUGAGCGGAGAUAUAUGGAGCUUGCUUUAUAUAACUUAGCAGCGAACGGGUGAGUAACACGUAGAUAAUCUAUCCUAUACUGGGGGAUAGCCCGAUGAAAGUUGGAUUAAUACCGCAUAUAGCUAUAUAGUUGCAUGAUUAUGUAGUGAAAGAUUUAUUGGUAUAGGAGGAGUCUGCGGCACAUUAGCUAGUAGGUGAGGUAAAGGCUUACCUAGGCGACGAUGUGUAGCCGGUCUGAGAGGAUGAACGGCCACAAUGGAACUGAGACACGGUCCAUACUCCUACGGGAGGCAGCAGUGGGGAAUAUUGCACAAUGGGGGAAACCCUGAUGCAGCAACGCCGCGUGAGUGAAGAAGGUUUUCGGAUUGUAAAGCUCUGUUAGCAGGGAAGAGGAAGGACGGUACCUGCAGAGGAAGCCACGGCUAACUACGUGCCAGCAGCCGCGGUAAUACGUAGGUGGCAAGCGUUGUUCGGAAUAACUGGGCGUAAAGGAUGCGUAGGCGGUUAAACAAGUUAUAUGUUAAAUAUAUAGGCUUAACCUGUAGAAAGCAUAUAAAACUGUUUAACUAGAGUGCAGGAGAGGUAAGUGGAAUUCCUAGUGUAGCGGUGAAAUGCGUAGAGAUUAGGAAGAACACCAGUGGCGAAGGCGACUUACUGGACUGUAACUGACGCUGAGGCAUGAGAGCAUGGGGAGCAAACAGGAUUAGAUACCCUGGUAGUCCAUGCUGUANACGAUGGGUACUAGNUGUGGGUUGUGAAUAACAAUUCGUGCCGUCGCAAACGCAAUAAGUACCCCGCCUGAGGAGUACGAUCGCAAGAUUAAAACUCAAAG
rnacentral:rRNA from 1 species